GAAGCAACAGCUUAGAGACAUUUGAUUAUAAAUGCUGCUGGAUUAAAUUAACGUAUAUAUAUUUAAAAUGGUUUGACUUCAAAAUGUAAGUCAAGGCAUAUUUCUUUGGGAGAGAGGUUUUGCUUUAUUACCACAGGAAAUGAGAGGCUAUGGAUUCAUUCUAGGUUAAAGAAAAUCAGGUUUGAUUGAGGAAAAUCCCCUUAAAUCCCAAAUACAAAUAUAAAAAAAAUAAACCUGGAGAACUACAAGACACAUGAUAUAUAUUUUACUUGCUCAAACACAUAACAAAAAAUUAUCUCUGGCUGACUUAUACACAAUGCACAGCCUAUUAUUUUUAUGUUAUCUUUAAAAGUUUAUUUUCAGAACAAGGGGAUCCUGCACCAACAAAAAUGGCCCAGAUGAUCCAAGACAGCUUCAAAGCAACAGGCAACUGACUGAGAUGAUCCAGCCUUAGAAAACACACCAUCCAAGCUUUAGAAUUAUCCUAGUUUUCACAGGGUCCCUCAACUGCCAGCACCCCUGAUCAGCUGAAGUAUUCUAGAGAACUACACCUAUCCUCCCCAAAUAAAUUAUGAAUGUUUGUCAUUUAGAUGGGUUGGUUAAGUUAUUAUUGGUAAUGCUCAAGAAGAAAGUUAAACAUAAAAGAUCAGAUUCAGGAAUCUCCUAAAAAAAGGGGGAUAUAGGAUAAAAGGGUAGAUUAUUGAAUCUACUUUCAUCCAAAAUCAAUUUUUAAUCUUAUAUUUUACAUUGGCAUGAAUUUUGGUUUAUUGUUACAAAUUUAAUGUUAAUUUUGUUAUACUGCAUCUAUAUUUUUACUCUUGUUUAGGUAUUAUUCUUAUGCAUCUCAUUCAAAAUGUAUGAAUUAAGAAAUACAGAUUGUCAUCUAUUAUAGUCAAAUUGAUAGCCGUUUAGGGAUGUUUUCAAGGUCAUACAGAGAGAUUUUAGAGAGACAAUAAUCUUCAGACAUAUCAAAGACUUACAGCAUAUGGUAUUUAAUAUAUUUAACAAUCUAAGGCUUUUCACAAUAGUAAAGACACAUUGGCUCCUGGCAACAUCAAUCUACUUCAAAGAAGAUGAUCAGCACUGCAGAGCCUCUACAUGGAGUUUACUUUCUUUGUGGCAAAAGUUAGUCACUGGGCAAAGAAACUGCCCUCAUCUCAUUUGCUGACAAUCACUGUCCAAACUGGACCAGCAGGACACAAGAAAGGUUGAUGUAGGAACCUCAAGACUCCUUUGAAAACAUGCCUCAUCACUUCCAGCCAGAUUUAGAAAGCCCACCUGGAUCAGCUUGCUCAAUGUCAGAGCCUCCGGCAACUGAAAUAUCUGCAUAUAUUGGUGUCAAAUUCCCUUUACAUCUUGGGGCUCUGCAAAGGUUGAGAGCCAAUAUUGCAGGUACUCUCAAAACACUGGAUUUUCUGGCCUUGGGACGACAGACUCAGAUCAGUGUCCUCAUACCUCCCUCAACCAACGUUACCAACACAUUAACAUUAAUUUCCAUGAUAAUAGAAUCUCCAAGCCAAGUCUUGAGUGAAGAUCUGGAUCACACAGGGAGUUGAAAAGAUGAUUCUGGAGCAGUAACCUGCUCCUCUGGAAUGCUAUCACCGCUGGGGUUUUGUCUACAGAAAACAAAGUAAUCAUCUUUAUUCAGAGUUCAUGGGUACAUUCAGGUCCAUAAGGCAGACAAAGAAGGUCAUCUUUGCAUCAAGAUUCUAUGCAACAUGUCAUAUAACAUUGUGUGUAUGACAAGCAGAGCAGAUUCUGUUUCUGUUUGCAGAAGAGACAAGAAUGUCACUUCUUUUCCUUGUCCCGGUCAUUAGUUGUAGUCGUCUUGUGUGUCUGUUCAGUGAUUGUUGUGCCAAUUGUUGCACCCAGACUUUUACAAGAUGAGAUACCUUUCAUUUAGGAAUGCUGGAGACAGAGUUGGUCAAGUUUCUUCAUUUGACCCAGAAAAAUUGCAAAUUGUAUCAUGGUAGACUGAACCCAGUUUAUUCAGAGUCCAACUUCUGGAUGUCCUCUGGAUGGAAAACUUGCAGAACUUUCUUGAAAGUCUGUAUGCACAGUUACAAAAACUUCAUCCUUUUACAUUGGAACUGGAAAUUUUUUUUUUCUCUCAGGCCCAACCCAAGAAGUCGUCUUGUUCUUGCAGAUGUGUCCCUAAGCAAAGGUCAGUUACCACCAUCCGUUUGUCUCCUUUUCAGUUUCUGGAUCAGGCUUCUCUACUUGCUUCUUACUCUGCUUCUGAGGAGCAGCCAUCCUCCUCCUUUCCAGCCCAUACAUUCCGUAACUCCUGGUGCUCAUUCUGCAAAUGGAGUACUCCAAGUCUCCACCUCCUGUGGGUAAACAGGUGAAGAGUCAGUAGACAAAACAAGACCCCAAUUUAAUCAGCUCCUUUCCACAUCUCUAAUGUCAGCUCUUACUUUCUUCCUUCUGGAUCUUGGCAGUGUUUGUGUUAUUCCCUAAUAUGGGGCGUCCAACAAAGAUCUCAUGGUCCCAGGCAAUGGCUCUUUCUGAGCUGCAUCCGUAGCUCUGUCUCACUUCCCUCCAUUCAGUUACUCUAGACCUGGUACUACUAGUGCCCGUGGAGAGACAGGGACAGGCUUUUUUCACUGUGCCCACAUCGUCUCUAUUCCUCCCCACACUUAACUGUCCUUUCCUAUCAGAUCUCAAUAGCAGUCAAGGCUUCUGCUGUCUUCCAAACUGAUGCUACCAAAGGCCUCUGAUCUACCUAUAGCUGUCCACGGUCUUAACCCCAGAUUCUCUCUCCCCUGUGCCCCAGAAUCCUCCCUUUGACCUUACCUGGGUCUUGUCCACUUUAGGUGACUAUUUGGUGUCAGUAGGACAUCCAGCCAAUCCAGAACAGCCUGGAAGAUUUCCUUGUAGUGUUUUUUCAUCAGGGCCCACACAGGGAGGUAGGGGGAGUGACCAGGCUGUGACCACAGUCUUCAUAAUCUGAGUGAGUGAAGACCUCCUGGCACAGUGGUGGAAAGGCUCCAAGGACAGUCCCUCAAGACAGACAACCGUGUCCUCGUCCUUCAGAUCCUCCUCCUUCACCUGCUCCAGGAGCUUCAGUAGACUCCUUACAUACACUCAGAUGGAUCCUGGGAAAACUUCCAAAAAAAGCCAGGAAAUGUUAAUUCAGACAAACGCAAUCUGUAUCCAGGAAGCAUCACUGAAGGGUACAAACUGAUUAAGUUACAAGAAAGCAAAUCCCAGAGAACAUAAACAAUGAGGACCCUAAGAGAGGCAUACACGGAUCUAAUCUACAUGGGAAGUACAAAAAGAUCUCCUGAGUAAAUUGGAAGCAUGGGGAUCAUGACAGAGGAUUGAAGGGGAGGGGAGAGGAAGCGAGGGAGCAAAGAAAAAUGUUUAGCUCAAUAAAAUCAAUUAAAAAAAGAAAGCAAAUCCUUUCAGACUCAGUGACUCUGGCCUCUCACCCCAGUGUGUGGCGGGUCAAGAGUCAGAAGAUAAGUAGUUCGAGACCAGCUGUGGUUCUGGAAAACUAAAGCAUAAGAAAAGCUCACCAGCAAAUGAAACAAAUACCCUAGCCUAGAAGCACAUGUCUUUCAUCCCACUCCUUAGGAAGUAGACAAUGGUGGAUUUCUAUAAUUUACAUCCUGUUCCACAGAGCAAGUUCCAGGUCACUAAGAACCACAUGGUAAGAUCAUUUAACACACACACACACACACACACACACACACACACACACACACACACACAGAGUCACAGUUAGGAGUCCUAUUGCUGUUAUUAAACAACACAACCAGAAGCAAAUUCAGGAGGAAAGGUUUUAUUUGGUUUACAGUUCCCCAGGGUGGUCCACCAUAAUGGAAGUGAGGACAGGAACUCAAACAGGUAGCAAGCUGGAGCCAGGAGCUGAUGCAGAGUCCAUGGAGGGAUGCCUCUUACUGGCUUGUUCCCCUUGCUUACUCAGCCUGCUGUCUGUAGAAGCCAGGACCACCUUCCCAGGGAUGGCAUCACUCACAAUGGGCUGGGCCCCACCCAUCACUGAUUAAGGAGAUGCCCUACAGGCUUGCCUACAGGGGGGUAUUAUAGAGGCAUUUUCUCAACUGAGACUCCCUCCUCUCAGAUGACUCUAGCUUGUGUCAAGUUGACAUAAAAUUAUCCAGCACAGUUGACCCCUUGCCAACUUGACACAGAGUGCUUUUUAAGAUAUAACCUUUCAUUUUUAGGGGUGUGGGGGGGAUCGCUGUUGUGGGGCUUCAUCCCCAAGAUCUCAGAUUACUACAUCUCACAAACACAAAACAUGACUAUCUUUAAAAGCCCCACAGCCUUUGCAAAUGCAAACUUAUUAAAGGUUAAUAGUAAUAUCAGCUCUCCUUUUCUUCCUGUUCGUUGCUUUGUACAACCUCGAUAUGAGGUCUUUCACCUUUUCUCAUUAGGUCUUGUGUUAUCUUGUGUGACUGUCAUCUCUUGGAGAUCUGUUCUCCUCUGAAGAAAAUAAUGAGAGGGAGCAGGUCUGGGCAAGAUGGAGUUGUGUGUGUGUUGGGGAGCUGGUGGUAGUUGGGGGAGGAAAAACAUGCUUGGUGUAUUAUCUGAGAGAAGAGCGAAGAUCAGUUUUUUUUCUUUCGUCUUGUCUUUAAGACAGGGUUUCUUUGUGUAGCCCUGGCUGUCCUGGAACUCACUAUAUAUACCAGGCUAGCUUGAAUUCACCGAGAUCUGUCUGCCUCUACCUCACAAGAACUGGGAUUAAAGGUGUGCUCUGUCACCCUC